UACGGGAGGCAGCAGUGGGGAAUAUUGCACAAUGGGCGCAAGCCUGAUGCAGCCAUGCCGCGUGUAUGAAGAAGGGCCUUCGGGUUGUAAAGUACUUUCAGUCGUGAGGAAGGUGUUAAGGUUAAUAACCUUAGCAAUUGACGUUAGCGACAGAAGAAGCACCGGCUAACUCCGUGCCAGCAGCCGCGGUAAUACGGAGGGUGCGAGCGUUAAUCGGAAUUACUGGGCGUAAAGGGCACGCAGGCGGUUAAUUAAGUUGGAUGUGAAAUCCCCGGGCUUAACCUGGGAAUGGCAUUCAAGACUGGUUAGCUAGAGUCUUGUAGAGGGGGUAGAAUUCCAUGUGUAGCGGUGAAAUGCGUAGAGAUGUGGAGGAAUACCGGUGGCGAAGGCGGCCCCUGGGACAAAGGACUGACGCUCAUGUGCGAAAGCGUGGGGAGCAAACAGGAUUAGAUACC
rnacentral:rRNA from 1 species